AGUGAACGCUGGCGGUAGGCCUAACACAUGCAAGUCGAACGGCAGCACAGUAAGAGCUUGCUCUUACGGGUGGCGAGUGGCGGACGGGUGAGGAAUACAUCGGCAUCUACUUUUUCGUGGGGGAUAACGUAGGGAAACUUACGCUAAUACCGCAUACGACCUACGGGUGAAAGCAGGGGAUCUUCGGACCUUGCGCGAUUGAAUGAGCCGAUGUCGGAUUAGCUAGUUGGCGGGGUAACGGCUCACCAAGGCGACGAUCCGUAGGUGGUCCGAGAGGAUGAUCAGCCGCACUGGAACGGGGACGCAGUCCAGACUCCGACGGGAGGCACCAGUGAGGAAUCUUGGACAAUGGGCGCAAGCCUGAUCCAGCCAUACCGCGUAGGUGUAAAAGGCCUUCGGGUUGUAAAGCCCUUUUGUUUGUAGAGAAAAGCAGCCUGUUAUUACCCCGCUGUACUGACGGUACCCAAAGAAUAAGCACCGGCUAACUCCGUG
rnacentral:rRNA from 1 species